GACGAACGCUGGCGGCGUGCUUAACACAUGCAAGUCGAACGGAAAGGCCCUGCUUUUGUGGGGUGCUCGAGUGGCGAACGGGUGAGUAACACGUGAGUAACCUGCCCUUGACUUUGGGAUAACUUCAGGAAACUGGGGCUAAUACCGGAUAGGAGCUCCUGCUGCAUGGUGGGGGUUGGAAAGUUUCGGCGGUUGGGGAUGGACUCGCGGCUUAUCAGCUUGUUGGUGGGGUAGUGGCUUACCAAGGCUUUGACGGGUAGCCGGCCUGAGAGGGUGACCGGCCACAUUGGGACUGAGAUACGGCCCAGACUUCUACGGGAGGCAGCAGUGGGGAAUAUUGCACAAUGGGCGGAAGCCUGAUGCAGCAACGCCGCGUGCGGGAUGACGGCCUUCGGGUUGUAAACCGCUUUCGCCUGUGACGAAGCGUGAGUGACGGUAAUGGGUAAAGAAGCACCGGCUAACUACG
rnacentral:rRNA from 1 species